UCUUUCUGCUUUUGCUACAGGGUUUCAUCUCCAUUUCCAAACCGGGUUAACUGGUUCAAUUUUUUCUGUUUUCGUUCUAAAUUUUGAAGUUGCGGCUCGAUCUUCAAUCAAGGAAGGAGCAAAGAAAGAAAAAAAAAAAGAUGCAGCAAGAUCAACUCAAGAAGGUUGUUUCUUUGUCCAUGAUUGCCCCUUUUGUCUACAAAGUCUGUUACGGUGUUGUGAGAUGACAUGGCACACGGAGGUGUUGAAAAAAUUGAAAUUUGGAAACUUCCGGCUAUGCCUCGACGACGUUGUUCAUGCCUCUAGCCGCACGCGUGAGCGCAAGCGAGGUAAGUAGUUAUUAACCAUCGUUGUUCCGAUAAGUGCUGUUUGGUUUAAGGGAAGAUUAAUUAAUUAAUUAAUUGAAAGGUGGUGGUGAUGAAUAAGUUUAGAUGGAGAUGCAUUGGCCAAAGGUGCCG
rnacentral:lncRNA from 1 species